UUUUUAAAGAGUUUGAUCCUGGCUCAGGAUGAACGCUGGCGGCGUGCCUAACACAUUCAAGUCGAACGGGCUUU
rnacentral:rRNA from 1 species